rnacentral:lncRNA from 1 species
GUUCACGUGUUCAUUUCGGAAAAACUACCAAAAAGGCUUUUUUGCCAAAGCUUUACCAUUGAAGUUUGGGUUUCAUCGUCAUAACAAAGUAAUUUUUCAAAGUCGUAAUGAGGAGAACCAAGUUACAAGCCUCCUCCCAGGCUAGUUUUGAAAGACCUGCCUGAAAACUGAAUAAGCCUAAUCAUCUACUCUGCUGACAUUGAUGCAGAUGCUGACUACUACUAAGGAAAAGAGCCCUGCCAUUGCCCCACCUGAGCGCAUUUGUCAUCCCGACGAUAUGCUUUCUGAGUCCCGGCCUCAGCCUCCCGCUCCAACGCUGAUGGAAAACUUGCAGCAAAAACGCAAAAAGGUAAAUGCGGACGGCAGGCGGAGGUUAUUUGCAAGCCUGAUGGAAAUCAAUGUCAUGUGCCAGCCUCCUCCGUCCUCAGGACAAUUAGAAAGGGGGGGUAGGAGGAGGAGAGGGGAAGGAUGGAGGAGUGGGGUAGGAGGAGGGGAAGGAUGGAGGAGUGGGGUAGGAGGAGGAGAGGGGAAGGAUGGAGGAGUGGGGUAGGAGGAGGAGAGGGGAAGGAUGGAGGAGUGGGGUAGAGGGGAAGGAUGGAGGAGUGGGGUAGAGAGGGCUGAAAGGACAAAGAAAAAUGUGUUGGUGGUUUUUCCUUCUGAAUCUUAAGGACUCCUGACAUUUCUUCAAAAGAGUCGCGGCCAUUUCAUCAGGACGCCGUUCCUUUCUUUUUGACUUUUCUUUUUCAGUCACUCGCCAUAAAUUUCCCCUUUUUGUCUUUUUUGUUUAUGGACAAAGGGACAAACAAACUCCCCUGCUGUAC